UACGUAGGGCGCAAGCGGUAUCCGGAAUUAUUGGGCGUAAAGAGCUCGUAGGCGGUUUGUCGCGUCUGCCGUGAAAGUCCGGGGCUCAACUCCGGAUCUGCGGUGGGUACGGGCAGACUAGAGUGAUGUAGGGGAGACUGGAAUUCCUGGUGUAGCGGUGAAAUGCGCAGAUAUCAGGAGGAACACCGAUGGCGAAGGCAGGUCUCUGGGCAUUAACUGACGCUGAGGAGCGAAAGCAUGGGGAGCGAACAGG
rnacentral:rRNA from 1 species